UAGCUAGUUGGUGAGGUAAAGGCUCACCAAGGCGACGAUCUGUAGCGGGUCUGAGAGGAUGAUCCGCCACACUGGAACUGAGACACGGUCCAGACUCCUACGGGAGGCAGCAGUGGGGAAUUUUGGACAAUGGGGGCAACCCUGAUCCAGCCAUGCCGCGUGAGUGAAGAAGGCCUUCGGGUUGUAAAGCUCUUUCGGCCGGGAAGAAAUCGUAUGGGUUAAUACCCUGUGCGGAUGACGGUACCGGCAUAAGAAGCACCGGCUAACUACGUGCCAGCAGCCGCGGUAAUACGUAGGGUGCGAGCGUUAAUCGGAAUUACUGGGCGUAAAGCGUGCGCAGGCGGUUUUGUAAGACAGGCGUGAAAUCCCCGGGCUCAACCUGGGAACUGCGCUUGUGACUGCAAGGCUAGAGUACGGCAGAGGGGGGUGGAAUUCCACGUGUAGCAGUGAAAUGCGUAGAGAUGUGGAGGAACACCAAUGGCGAAGGCAGCCCCCUGGGUCGAUACUGACGCUCAUGCACGAAAGCGUGGGUAGCAAACAGGAUUAGAUACCCUGGUAGUCCACGCCCUAAACGAUGUCAACUAGGUGUUGGGUGGGUAAAACCAUUUAGUACCGGAGCUAACGCGUGAAGUUGACCGCCUGGGGAGUACGGCCGCAAGGUUAAAACUCAAAGGAAUUGACGGGGACCCGCACAAGCGGUGGAUGAUGUGGAUUAAUUCGAUGCAACGCGAAAAACCUUACCUACCCUUGACAUGUCCAGGAGCCUGAAGAGAUUUGGGUGUGCCCGAAAGGGAACUGGAACACAGGUGCUGCAUGGCUGUCGUCAGCUCGUGUCGUGAGAUGUUGGGUUACGUCCCGCAACGAGCGCAACCCUUGUCGUUAAUUGCCAUCAUUUAGUUGGGCACUUUAACGAGACUGCCGGUGACAAACCGGAGGAAGGUGGGGAUGACGUCAAGUCCUCAUGGCCCUUAUGGGUAGGGCUUCACACGUCAUACAAUGGUCGGUACAAAGGGUCGCCAACCCGCGAGGGGGAGCCAAUCCCAGAAAGCCGAUCGUAGUCCGGAUCGUAGGCUGCAACUCGCCUGCGUGAAGUCGGAAUCGCUAGUAAUCGUGGAUCAGCAUGUCACGGUGAAUACGUUCCCGGGUCUUGUACACACCGCCCGUCACACCAUGGGAGCGGGUUCCGCCAGAAGUAGGUAGCCUAACCGCAAGGGGGGCGCUUACCACGGCGGGGUUCGUGACUGGGGUGAAGUCGUAACAAGGUAGCCGUAGGGGAACCUGCGGCUG
rnacentral:rRNA from 1 species